rnacentral:rRNA from 1 species
GACAGAGGCCCCGAGCGUUAGGCGGAAUCACUGGGCUUAAAGCGUGUGUAGGCGGGCCCGUAAGUGUCUUGUGAAAUCCCACGGCUCAACCGUGGAACUGCUGGGCAUACUGCGGGUCUUGGGCCAACUAGGGGCAGCCGGAACAAGCGGUGGAGCGGUGAAAUGCGUAGAUAUCGCUUGGAACGCCGAAGGUGAAAACAGGUAACUGGGAGUGUGCCGACGCUGAGACACGAAAGCCAGGGGAGCGAACGGG